GAUGAACGCUAGCGGUGUGCCUAAUGCAUGCAAGUCGAACGGGAUCCUUGGAUUCGUCUAAGGUGAGAGUGGCGAACGGGUGAGUAACACGUUGGUGACCAACCCCAAAGAGAGGGACAACCAUUGGAAACGAUGGCUAAUACCUCGGAUGUAUUACCAUUUAGAAAAGUAAUACUAAAGCUCCGGCGCUUUGGGAGGGGCCUGCGGUCCAUCAGCUAGUUGGUAAGGUAAUGGCUUACCAAGGCGAAGACGGAUAGGGGGCGUGAGAGCGUGACCCCCCACACUGGUACUGAGACACGGACCAGAUACCUGCGGGUAGCAGCAGCAAGGAAUAUUGCGCAAUCGACGCAAGUCGGACGCAGCAACACCGCGUGAAGGAUGAAGGCCUUCGGGUCGUAAACUUCUUUUCUGGGGGAAGAGAAAGGACGGUACCCCAGGAAUAAGUCUCGGCUAACUACGUGCCAGCAGCCGCGGUAAAACGUAGGAGGCGAGCGUUAUCCGGAUUUAUUGGGCGUAAAGCGCAUGCAGGCGGUUUAUUAAGUCGGACGUGAAAGCUCCUGGCUCAACCAGGAGAGGCCGUUCGAAACUAGUAGACUUGAGGAUGGUAGAGGUGAGUGGAAUUCCCGGUGUAGUGGUGAAAUGCGUAGAUAUCGGGAGGAACACCAGUGGCGAAGGCGGCUCACUGGGCCAUUCCUGACGCUCAGAUGCGAAAGCUAGGGGAGAGAACGGGAUUAGAAACCCCGGUAUUCCUAGCCGUAAACGAUGUCAACUGGGCGUAGGAGGUUAUUGACCCCUUCUGUGCUGUAGCUAACGCGUUAAGUUGACCGCCUGGGGACUACGGCCGCAAGGCAA
rnacentral:rRNA from 1 species